AACGUAACUGUAUUUAUCUCGUCAAUCGUCAUCUUUGUUUGCUGCUAGCGCUCAUUGCCGAAAUGUUUGUCCUUUUAUAACGUGAUGCGAUUACCAGCGGCUUUGUGGCAUGUGAGGGCAAAAUAAAAUCCAGUUUUUAACACAACAGUUCUGUAUUUUCUAUUUAUUUACGUUUAAGGACCAAUUGUAAACUUACAGACAAAACGAGCCCGUACAAGAGAAAGAAAGAUAAUCUUGAUUUUGAGCUUCUUCGCGCAGAUAAUGGUAAGCACCUGUUAUUCGAAAUCCGUGUUAAUUAAUUAAAAAUCGCGGAAAUUUUUUUU